rnacentral:lncRNA from 1 species
UUCCACAAAAAAAAGGAGCAAUAUAAUUCAGCACCAGAAUUGAUAAAGAGUAUGGAUGGCCUCAACAAAAGAGUAAAAGUGUUGAGCAAGAAAAUGUAAGUGCGAAACUAUCGUUACUGAUUGAUAUUCUAUAUUUCAUAUUCUUUUCUAUAUUCAAAUUAUCAAAUUGUACUUUCAUAUGAAUUUUACAGCAUAGUGAUAGAAGCUCGAAUGAUUUAGAUAAUCGUCAGAGUAAGAAAUGCAAAUUGUUACGUUUGUUUGGGGAAGCCAAUGUAGUUGCUAAUGGUGAAAUCGCAUCAACAAAUCCUUGUGAUGUAGUACAUCAUGUACCCUUGGCGAUGAAUGUUGGAGAGUUUGGGUUAAUGAAGUUAUUGACAAUGUUACCUUAUAUCGUCCCACAUGUGGGCUAUUUCUUCUUGAAGAUGCAUUAGGAAGUACAAUUGCAUGGCCAAUCAGGUUCAUCAAAAUGGAUUAACUAUAAGCACAACAAACGUAUGCUUUACUUUGUUUUUUUAUAUCAUUUGUCAUUUGCGUACUCACUUUAAUUUAUUAACUAUACAUUCAUUUAUUUUUGUGAUGUGCAGGGAGUUGAUUAUUUUUGGAACAACAAAAUUGUUGAUCAAAUUAAUCAAAAUCGAUGUGGA